ensembl:lncRNA
CUACUGAACAAGGAAAUAAAACAUACCAAUGCUUUGAGAAACAAGAUGACAUUUCAGAAAAGAAAGAGUGACUCCAAUUCAUCUUGAAUCUGACUUUCUGAGGCAGAUUCCUUUCUCCUUCCUCCUCUGUAUUCUUCUCUUGCUACGAGGUACCCUAUUUUGCUGCUGAGAAAACUGAGGUCCACAAAGGUAGCGUCUGCCAAGAUACUCCUGACACAAUUCAAAGCUCAGCAGAGUACGCGACAUUGCUCGUUUGAAUGUUCGCUUAGAACCAUUAGAUGUCUGAACUGUGAGGGAAUAUCUAGUCCAACCCCUCCCACUUUAAAGAAGAGGAAGCUGAGGCCGCUAGAAGGUCCCUGCUCACUAGCCCCAGGGAGACACCCACACUUUAACCCCCUCGCCCGUCCCUCACGCUUGUCCCCUACGCAACAGAGAACUGCAACUAAGAAACUGGACUCACCUCGCGGAUCUCAGCUGAACAAAAGAUACAUAAGGCCAAGAGCCAUAUGGAGUCGCGCCUGCGCAGGUGUACCUUACAAACUACGAUUCCCAGAAUUCUUUAAAACUGCGUCAUUUUCUGAUCUCAGAAAGUUUUCUGGUCUCAGAAAGUUUCCUGAGGGGUCCGCUACCGUUUGGUUCCCCCUUCUUCUCCCCCCCCGCCCCCCCCCCCCCNNNNNNNNUACAGAAUAGAAGGGAAAUUCUAAUUUUUCACGUUAAGUCGAUGUGCAAUAGAAUGACAACAAAAACCUCAAUAGUAUGGAAUUUAACCGCCAUCCUUAUACGCGACAAUAGUUUAAAGGUUAAGAAAAAAUUUUUUUUAAUACGAUUAGUAUGUAAGGGUGGGGUGGAGGAGUUUGUAUAUCUACGCAGAAGGGCAAGAGACGGAGAGACAGUGGGAGAGAGAGAGAAUGAAUCAGUAAGAAAAAAUAACAUGGAGAAAGAUGAGGAAAGGAGAAGCUGAGAAUAUGAGAACUUGUACAAUGUAUAUUUUAUUUAUGUUAUGUACAGAAUAGAAGGGAAAUUCUAAUUUUUCACGUUAAGUCGAUGUGCAAUAGAAUGACAACAAAACCCCAACAAAUUUUGGAUACAGGCAGACAUCUUUAUUUUAGAAUUUAAUUUUAAAUUUAUUUCAGAUUAAAAAUCCAUCAACAAUCAUUUAUUAAAUGCCUUUUCUAGGCUAAGUACCUUUAUUAGAAGGGGAUUCAAUGAUAAAGACGAAACAAAACCCCUAAUAUAAACAGUUUAUAGUCAAGCAAUACAUUACCAUAUUGACCUUGACGAAAAGGAAAAACACACAUACACACACCCAAAUGUAUAAAUGGGCAGAAUGUUUCUUCAUUAGAUCUCUAGAAGCCUGGCUGUUGCUGGUCAGAAUUCCUAAGCCUUUUAAAGUUGCUUGUCUUUACCAUAUCAUUAUAUAAAUUGUUAUCCUGGCUCUAUUUGCUUUAUUCUUCAUCAGUUCACAGCAUACUCACCCAGCUGUCUCUGAAAUCAUCCCUUUCAUCAUUUUGUGGAAAUGAACUUAUUCCGCUACUCUUUCAGCAGAGAAUCCUGUUUUUAGAAGAGACUUUAGACUGACCAGUCACAGGUCUGAGCCAAAGAUCAAAGUUUUGCUCUUGCCCGCUUCCUCUAAUUGCUCAAGUCACUAAUCUUUGUUUCUGAAUUUAGUUCAUAAUUGAACUGGUCUGUAAUGGGUUAAAUUGAGAAAUCCAGCUCUUCUGCUAAUAAUAUGCAUUGAGUUUGGAGGGCUGCUUGCUAUCCAAAAGUCUGAGUCAUUAUCUGGCACCUGAACUCUAACAAUGAGUCCUGUGGGAAAGAGGGAGAUUCUUUGCUAGCACCCAAUCACCAAGCUUCUAAUCAAUCAUGCCAGUUGUUAUGCCUCAAGUCUGUAAAACAAUCAUUUUGGACAUAAACCCAUGAUGUCAUUCACCCAGCUCUGUUCUUUGUGUGCUCCCCUCUCUCCCCAUUCCCUUUGUGAGUUUUGUCCUGUGCAGUUACAGGCAUUGUGUACUUUGGUAUGACAGUUGCUGCAGUGUCAUAAUGUGUGCAUUCUUUGGUCCUGUCCAAUUAAAGAUGCAAUUUAUAGACUUUGACUCCUCUGAUUUAUUUAUUCUGAGUCAUAGAUCUGUUUUAAUUAGACCUUGAACCCUCUGGUCUAAGUCAGAAGUCCUAACUCCUCUGGUUAAUCUGUUCUGAGAUGGAGGUCCUGGCUCCUCUAUUCUAGGUUAGAGGUCAACAAUUUCUUACUUGACAAUAGUAUUAUGUCACAUUUAUAUACUAUAACUUGUUCAGCCAUUUCCCAAUUGAUAGACAUCUCAAAUUCCUCUUAUUUGCCACCUAAAAAAGAAUUACACAUUUUUUUAACAUCCUAAAAGUUUGUUUUACUUAGGACUAAUUUUGUUAAUCUACCCUCUUUCUUCGAUUGUCCUCUUAUUUCCCAAUAAAGUGAAAUAUAUUUCUAUACUCA